AUAUUUUGUAGCUCAGCAUUGCAAACAACAGUAAUACUGUUUUAAGAAUGAGUGUUAUAAUUGCAUAGCAUUUGUAUGCACUUUAUACUUUGCAGAGGUGAGUUAAAUUAUUAAUCAUUUUGCACAUGAAAGCUGUGGGGCAUAUCUUUUUUCUUUUUUUAGGUGAGGAAGUUAUGCUACGACUCUAAUUAAUUCCACGAUUCUAUUGAAAGUUGAGGAAUGCUGUUUUACCCCUGCGCAUUAUAAAGAAAAUAACUAGAAUUACUUUAGUCUUCAGAUUUUCUCCCUGUUAAUUCUGUAUCUUGAGAGGUUUCUUUUUUUUUUUUUUUUUUUUCUUUUCUUGCAAAUGCAUUCUUUUGCAUUAAGAUGGUCACAAGGUAAAGCCCUGUGGCAGAACCUGGUACUUUACCUUACCAGAGGAAAUUACCUUAGAAUAAGAUGGAGCGAGACCCCAGCUCCCCUUAAAGACAAGACCUUGAAAUCAAAUGGAGUCAGCUAUACCUAUCAAUCAAUCACAGUUCUUGGAUAUAAGAAGCCCAUAGACUCUCUUGUUUACACUGUAGGCUUUUUCUUAAUAGGGUUGCAUUUGUCAGUCAUUGCAUUUACCCUUCUUGGCCUGGAAGUAGAGGAGAUCAAUGCGUAGCUUUGACCACUUCCAGCCACAGGGUACUAACAUCAGACAUAAGUUGCAACCAGGUCACAUUUUAGGCUGAGAUGGGGCUAACUGAAAGUCAGUGUGAUGAAAACCCAAGGGCGCUAUUCCACAUGUCUCAAAUGAUUGGCAGGGGCUAACUUAUUAGUAAUUCUCGGUUUUGUGCACUGAGAUAUCUAAGACCUAUGGCAUUUUUUUCCCAUUUAUAAAGCUCCUAUAAUUCUUAAGUAAGUACUAGGUGAAUGUUUGAAUAGAUGCUGGAGAAAUUACACUGGAAAACCCCACCCCUAGAUUUAGAUAAGAUCAAUCAUUUAAUAUUCCCCAAAUUAAUUCAGGUUGAAUUAAGCAUGUAAUAUAAAUUCAGUGAAUUACAAAAACACAUUUUGUGUAGGAUUGAUCAGAUUUUAAAUACAGUGAAACUUCAUUAUAUAUAAUAGACCUAGACCCUCCCAAGCAUUUUCCCAUCCCAUAAAGAAUUAAUGAAAUGAAAUGCUUAUAGAGCAACGAUUCCUGCUCAGAAAAAUUUCCUUAUAAACAGCUCCAAACCAGGGGUGCCUGAGCUAGAUUUUAAAGUUAUAAAGAAGUUUCAUUGUAUUUUUAAAACCUUUUUAAUGGGUGUAUUUGGACAAAAAUAACCCCCUUUUCACAUUUUAUGAUGUGCAGGUAUUACAUUGCUUUUUACAUGUGGAAAAGUGAGCCUGCAUUUAUUUUUAAAUGCAGUUAUUAAAACAUUUUUGUAUUCCCCAUCAAUGAAAAUUUUCAGUGUGAACAAAUGGUGAAUCAUAAGACAGUUCAGUGCUUAUUUUCUGUAGGUUUUAGCAAAAAAAUUUAUAAACCACAAAAUAUUUAUACAUCAGGAUGGUAAAUUUACAUCAUAAAGAUUGCAGAUUUAAUAUUUUCCAUUGUCUCUGUUCUGAGUGCCAUGCUUGUAACAUUGAUAGGAGGUGGACACUAGGCAACUGGUAUUAGAAGUUCAUUUUUUUACUGAAAAAUUCAGGUACAUUAGCCAUUUGUUAUUUUAUAGUGAACCGUUUCAAUGUUUGUUUAUUGUUAUUUGUUGGCAAAAUAAAAGUGCCUUAAGUUAAAAGUUUGUUUUGAGAUCCAUUAAAUAAAUCAGUAUCAUCAGUUCAUAAUGCAUUUAUUUACAAGUCCUUUUAUUUUGCAUGUUCAUUGUAAAUUUAAUACUGUAAAUGUAUUCAAAUUCAUUUACAUGCCUAUGGCUGCCUUUGAUUAAACUUCUUCCAAAAAAUAAAUUCUGCCCAGAUGUUGUUGACUUU
rnacentral:lncRNA from 10 species